ACGAUGGGGAGAGCUGCUCAGCUUUGAACUGUCUUAUGUCGGGGGUCCGUGCCAUCUUUUGCUUAAAGAAGGGGUUCUCCAGCUAACGAGGUGAUUUUUGGCCACUGGACUGUGUUUUGAAGAGAAGUAGUGCCAAGACUUUGUGGGUCUCCAAAGUCUCCAGAGCUCUGAGUCAGCCACACGUGGACGGAUCUGUAACGGCCAUGAUAAUAACCACGGAAGCACAGUCCAUAGAUGUCCAGGUGCCAGCUGCAAGUACCAGUGCUCAGCACACGGGGUCUGCUUCCAUCCUCCCUGCCAUGUGCGGCGGGCACCGGGACCCCCACUUUACAGAGCACGCUGAGACCCAGGGACGGGCAGCACCCUUCCAGCCCGGCCCUGAGUGCCGUCUAGCCGUGUUACUCUGAGCUAUCCCAGGCACACCAACAUUGUGGAGGCCCCUAGCCACCAGCGCAGGCUGCAUGCACAGAUGACCCCUCAGUUCAACCCAGACGCGAUAAUCCUAGGGUUGGCUGACUUUCUUCCAUCCUGGAGGCUAGACUUGUCCGGGAGGGAAGUGAGGAUUUUAGGAGUGGCCACUGCUGGGGUGGCCCUUCCCCUAGGUGAGGGCUUGGUUUCACAGUGAGCAUUCCUGAGUUAGGGUAAAUAAUUCCCCAGUUCUUACAGAACCUCCUAGUUUCACUGCUAGCUUGGAAGUAUAUCAGACUCUUUCUUCCCACCUUGAUGGGACCUGCUGCCAGGUUAUGGCUGGAUUCUGGCCUGUGUUCUCCCCUCACCUGGCCUGCAGGCCAGGCAGCCUGCUCUGGCUUCCCUAUGCCUCCAGGGGUGCUGCCCAUCCCAAAGGCUGGAUGGCUGUCCCUGCUCCCUGCCACCCUCCCGCCUCCUGGCCCUGCUCCGCGCCCCACUGCAGGCAGCUGCCCGCUCAUCUGGGGCACCUUAUCUGCCAGUCUUGGCUUUGCUUAGCCCCAGGCACCAUGCUUUUUUCAUGGAAAGGAAUCCAUUUGCUCCUGAGCUCUUCCAGGAUGACAGGUGACAGAUUCCAGAGGGGAGGUGGGAAGGCCAGCGCUUCCCCGCUAAAGCCCCUUGGGCAAGGCUCUGACCCAGCCCCUAGGCCCUCCCUGCCCCUCCCCACACUGCUGCCUCCUGCCUGCAUCUUCCUGAGCGCCCAGCACAGCGUUCCCUUUCUCCUGUAGAAUAGCAGGGAGACUUACGGGUUAAAAAUAACCCAAAACCCCAAACCCCUAUCUGACUCUACAUACACUGGCUGUGCCAAUUCCUCGCCAGGCACUGGGGUCUUUCCCAUGCCGCUGCACAGGCUGCUGGCUCUUCUGGGACCCCCACCCCAGGGAACUCCUCCAGGCCCUCCUCCCCUCCCUGGAGACUCCCAGCCCCUCCCACUUCCCGCCUUGGGAGAGUGACAGCUCCCCUCCUUCCCACAGCGCCUCAGCCUGGAAUCUCCACUUGCAUGCAUCCGGUUUCCUGUCUGGCUUCCUGCCUGGCUCCCCAGUUAAACUUCCAGUUCCAGGCCCGGUGUGGCCAGGGGUCAGCCAUGCUCAGCAACCAAGGGGAUGUCUUGGGCUCCAGCCCCCAUCCUCACCUGCCCCGCCCACCCUGCCUCUCCAGGAGUGCCUUAGAGUGAACCCCAGGCCCUGCCUCCGGGGCCUCCGGGGCCUGCGCCUCCUGCACUCAGACGCCUGCAGCCACCUCUCCGCCCCCGUGUCUGCUCUGCUUUCUCGGCUACCCCAGCUUGGCCUUGUCGUUCCUGAUGUCUUACCUUGGCCAUAUUUUCAAAAUAAAGUGGAA